GAGGCCGGCCGAGGAGAGGGCGAACGCGGAGGAGGAGGGGGGUGAUCGCGGAGGGAGAGGAGGAAGGGGCGGAAGCGGGCCGGAGGAGGAAGGCGGGGUGGCUAGACCGCGGCGGGGCGGAGUGGCAGGAGGCGGCGGACGGAGGACGGAACGGAGCGGAGCGAGGCGGCGGCCGGAGGACGCGGUGGGACGGAGCGGUGCGAGGCGGCCGGCGGAGGACGCGGCGGGGUAGAGUGGCACGAGGCGGCCGGCGGAGGACGGAGGGUGGCACCUCUUGCCGCUGUCCGCCGACGGUUGCCUGCCUAUGUCCGUCUCCUCCCAGUCUCUCCGCGCGCCUUCCGGCUGCUCCAACCCGUCGCGGCCUAGGUCUCAAGCCCCACCACGGUACCAACGAGCCACUCGAGGACGUCCCCUUCUACCGCCCCGCUCUAAAUUUCCCUCUACCGUCUCUCUUCGCUUUCCCUCACCGCCGCCCCUAAGACAACGAGUGGCGCUUAUAGCUCGCGAACCCGUGGUACGCUCCGACGCCGACGCCCGCCAACCUCUGCGUCGGAAUCCGUUCAACAACAACGAAAGCUCACGACUCGCAGCGAGACAGCUCAGGCCGCCUGCUUCCUAAUCCCCUCCCUGCCCGACACCUCUGAAGCUCCGCCGACCACCUCCGCAACCGGAACAGCCUUCCGGCCUCCUCCGCUGGCCACCACCGAGCGGUACCGACGUGAAGUGCCCUCGCCUCCAUCCGUAAGCUACCGGUCAGGCACACCUACGUCUACUCUGGGUCGGCACUACUUGUUUAUCAUCAUCUGACACGACCAGAAAAGGAGGAUAGACUUAAAAGACGUCUACUCUAGGUCGGCACUAUUUGUUUGUCGUCAUCCGGCACGACGAGAAAAUAGAUAAGACUUAAAACACGUUGAGUCUAGGUGGUUCCUUCUCUACCUACUCCGGCACGACGAGGAGAGUAGAUAGAGUUAACGAUAUACCUUUCGAGAUUUAAAGGUUAGUCGGUACUUCCUGGCUAGUCUUCGCUCCGGGAACGACGAGCACAGAGGAACGACCACCGUUGGGCUGGAAGUCGAACGGUCGCUGUCCGUCCUUAGGCCAGUCACCGGCGGUUUAUUCAUGUCCAAUGCCUUCUCUGGAUUCAGGCUGGUGGCGGGUUGAGGGUCGAUGAGCGACGUUAAGGGUGUAGGUGGAGUUUACCCUAUUCGCGAGGUCCACUCCGCAGGGGCCGAUCCUCGUCUAGACCUAGGGUACCCAGGUGGAGAGGGGCAAGCAACCUAGAAACGGGGGGUCGGCACCGGUGAGGAGUCCAAACGACCGACUACAGUGCGGGCAAGGUUCCGUCCAAAAAGGGUCCCCUUGGAGGACCCCACACAGGAUACUCCAUCUUCUAAGAACGAGCCAAGGAACACAAACCCUACUAGGUCUACUCUAUCACGUAGUCAACGAGUGUGCUUCUUUGGUGGUGUUACUCUUAGGAGAAGAUUAGACUCUCCCCUUCUAUCUAUGGACCGACGGACCUUUUCAUAAAAAGUUUAAUUGGUCUUACUCAAACUGAACCACAUGUUUACACCUUGAAGUUCUUUUCCGUCCAAAUUGUCCUUUAUUAUCAUCGUGAUAAAGUUGUUCACCAAGGAAACAUACUACGCCCCGCUCCCGCUACUCCCGUCGCAGCCCAAACUGCGGCCUGCCCCGCCGGCCCCUACUCCCACCGUCACACAAACUGCGGCCCGAAUUCAUGGAGCUCCGGCAGUUACCGUUACACGAACACAUAGGGUCCAAGUAGUGGCUAGGAAAGUGCUAAAACGAUCUGUGCAAGAGACCGCCCAUUGACGUGUGUUGGUGUCCUCCUCCAGCACAACACCUUCUUAUGCCGGACCCGUUUCGGUAUGAGAACGUAGAGAAAGUUGACCUGUUUGUACUACCUAUACCACCACCUGGACCCGUCAAAACGAGAUUGGAGUUUGAGAAGAAUUAAGGGGUGUAAAUCGAAGCUCUUGCCGCAGCGGCCCCUCCUGCCCUCGCCGAGCUGGUUACCGGUGGCGUUACGAGAAGACGGGCGACGAACGGAGCGGUGGGCCCGCGUUUUAUCUCGACUGUUCUGCAGACAUACAUGACGUCAAGUUACUCCUUCACGCAGUGAAAAACAUUUCUUUAUGUUCUGAUAGAAAGUGGGUCCUCUCCAAUUGACUUAAUCCCUCUACCGUGACACGGGUACCUGUUUCAGUCAACGAGGCUAUACCUACUCGUCGUCCACGACGAUGGCGACGUCCACCUGUUCCGUGCUCCAGAGUACCGAGGAGGGUGAGAAGGGUUGUUGUGACAACACUACAUGACUUCGGAGGGCAAGGUGUACAAGUCAUGAACGUGGAGUUGCAGUGAAGACACUCACCACCGGAUCCAAUCCAGCUAGGGAUUAGAGACAAGGUUAAAUAAGGCCACAGUAAUAAGAGUCGUAGGAAAUUAAACGCUAAAUACGACGGAAACAUAAAAAACCCCGAUCUCUAACAUCCAACUAAAUCUAACGAUUGAGCUAAGUCUGAUGGUUAUGAUGACAUCUAUAGCUACAAAGGUCUCGUAGUAAUAGUUAACCGACAAUAGAGUAACACAAAUACUCGUCUAUGUUGUAGAGAACACUCUGAAUCAGAAUGUGAACGACUAUAUUUGAUGAACCGUUAUAAAUAUCUUACAUACAGAAAGACAAACAUGAUGAACUAUGUUUAGUCAACAGGAUCCGUUUGUAACACC
rnacentral:rRNA from 1 species